rnacentral:tRNA from 1 species
UUUAAUAUGGCAGAACUAGUGCAUUGAAUUUAAGCUUCAAAAAUAAAGAAUAAUCUUUUGUUAAAA